rnacentral:lncRNA from 1 species
UGAUCUUGGGGGCAGCCCCUCGUGACUUGGAGAGCUUUGGUUUCCUCAUCCUGGAGCAGAGAUUGUGAAAAUUAUUUGUCAGGAUUGUCAACAAGAUUAGAUGAGAUAAUGAGAGGACUUUGAAAACUGGGGAGUGAUGCUCAGGGGUAAGGGUGGUUCCUUGUCUUCUGCUUACACAUGCUAUGGAUUGAAGGUCAGGGAAGGUGUCUUUGGUUUUCUUCUUCAGUCCUCCUAAUGAUACCCACUCAUUCCUGUCACCUCCUGUAUUCAACCAGGAUUGGACGUAGAGAAGACCUCAGAAAAACACAGCAAAAUGACCUGCACAGGGACUUAGCAAAUAGCAUCCGGGGCAUGCACGUGCCAUCUGCGGUGGGAGAGGCAGGGCUGUGCUGUGGUUCCAGUGUGGGCCUGGGUAGCCAGGUUAGCAAGUGUGACCUUGGGCAAGAUGAGCACUAAUGUCCUCAUCUAUCACAGUGGUAGUUCAGGAAGCUGUUGGGAGAACUGAAGGGGUUUGUUUGGUCUAUGUGUCAGGCCAGGAGCAAAUCACUCUGUUAGCAUCAGUAGUUGUUACUAUUUUACUAUUCUAUGCUGAGUGAUUCUUCAAACUGGAAAUGGGAGAUUUGGCUUCUGGUUUCGUUUUGUUUUUGCACUACUAGGUAGGUUGCUGGGGAUCUUUCUGCCUCAACCUCCAGAGUUGCUGGGAUUACAGGCAAGUGCUACACCAUCGGACUUCUGGUUUUGUUAAGAAUUAUCCAAGCUGGGCUUAGUGGUGCACAUCUGUCAUCCCAGCGACUCAGGAGGCUGAAUCAGAGGAUCGCAAGUGUGAGGCCAGCCUCAGCAACUUUGUGAGGCCCUAAGCAACUUAUGGAAACUGUCUCAAAAUAAAAUAUAAAACAGGCUGGGGAUGUGGCUCUGUGGUUUAGUACCCCUGAGUUCAAUCCCUGGUAGCCCCCCCAUCCACCCACCAAAAGAAAAAAAGAUUUGUCAGAGUCAUCAAAGAUGGUAAGAUGCUCAGGCCAGCCCUUAAGGUCAGCACAAAGAAGGUAGCAGUAAAUAUGCUGGACACCAUUGCCCUUGGCCGUGGGCUAGAUUCCUAGGCUACAAAUUGUUGAAUAAGAGGUGUGUAUAUUUAACAUCUUGGACAAAUAUCACAACUGUCCAACAUGCAGAUGAUCCUGUUUGCACUGCCUGGCCACAGGCUGAGAAUAACUGUUUCUCCCCACCGCCUUCUCCCAACCCAUAUUUUAAACUUAAAUUUCAUUAAUUUUGAUUGGGUAAUAUUUUCAGAUCACACAAAAUUCACAAAAGGUCAGGAAAGAGCCUACAGUGAGACAUUACCCCCUGUCACAACCAUUCACAUACAUCCCCAGGAACACAAACUUUGUUAUCAGUCCAUCCGAUAAAGGGAAAAUGGUAUCUCACUAAAUGAAUCUCUGUUAUUUUGAUGUGAAAAUCAGUGUAUAUUAUGGAGUAAAAUGUUGCAUUUGAAUGAACUUUAAGAUAAAACAGGAGACUUUAAAGGCAUUUUAUGCUCAGGGGUGGGGCCAGUUGGGCACUGCUCCUGGCUCUCUGUCUCUUGCCUUCUCUUGGCAGAAAAAUUUGUACAGUUUUUUUGUUUGUUUUUUUGGAACUGGGUAUUGAACCCAGGGGCACUUAACCACUCAGCCACAUCCCCAGCCCUUUUUUUGUAUUUUAUUUAGAGACAGGGUCUCACUGAAUUGCUUAGGGCCUUGCUAAAUUGUUGAAGCUGGCUUUGAAUUCAGGAUCCUCCUGCCUCGGCCUCCUGAGCUGCUGGGAUUAUACAGGUAUGUGCCCCUGGGCCGGACUUUGGUACAGUUCUGAGUCAAUAAAGUGAAAGUUUCAAGAUGCCCCACUCUUCUUCAUCCUAGUCACUUGUUUACAAUUCAUCUCUCAUGGCUCUUCUUGCCCUUGAGUGGGUCACUACCUUGAACUUGACCUUGAACCAGUCAUCUCUCACUCUGGGCUCCAAUGUUUUGACUUGUAAAAAAAAAAAAAAAGUGGGCCUGAGUAGAGCCAUUCCAGGUUUAACAUUCCAGGACUGAUCAACUAA